ACUCGGACCACCCAGUAGCUAGAUGUGGACUUUCGAGGCCUCGGACCCCGUUCCAAGUCCGACCGUCCCUUUCCAGGCCAUUGUGCCUUUCUUCGGCGUUUUGGGACGGAACCAAGAAACCGAGUCUGGGGCGUCACCGCUCGGCUUUUGUGGGCAAGAAACUUCGAGAUCACUCAGAAUCGGACCACCCAGUAGCUAGAUGUGGACUUUCGAGGCCUCGGACCCCGUUCCAAGUCCGACCGUCCCUUUCUAGGCCAUUGUGCCUUUCUUCGGCGUUUUGGAACGGAACCAAGAAACCGAGUCUGGGGCGUCACCGUUCGGCUUUUGUGGGCAAGAAACUUUGAGAUCACUCAGAAUCGGACCACCCAGUAGCUAGAUGUGGACUUUCGAGGCCUCGGGACCCCCGUUCCAAAGUCCGACCGUCCCUUUCCAGGCCAUUGUGCCUUUUUCGGCGUUUUGGGACGGAACCAAGAAACCGAGUCUGGGCGUCACCGUUCGGCUUUUGUGGGCAAGAAACUUCGAGAUCACUCAGAAUCGGACCACCCAGUAGCUAGAUGUCGACUUUCGAGGCCUCGGACCCCGUUCCAAGUCCGACCGUCCCUUUCUAGGCCAUUGUGCCUUUCUUCGGCGUUUUGGGACGGAACCAAGAAACCGAGUCUGGGGCGUCACCGUUCGGCUUUUGUGGGCAAGAAACUUCGAGAUCACUCAGAAUAGGACCACCCAGUAGCUAGAUGUGGACUUUCGAGGCCUCGGACCCCGUUCCAAGUCCGACCGUCCCUUUCCAGGCCAUUGUGCCUUUCUUCGGCGUUUUGGGACGGAACCAAGAAACCGAGUCUGCGGCGUCACCGUUCGGCGUUUUGUGGGCAAGAAACUUCGAGAUCACUCAGAAUCGGACCACCCAGUAGCUAGAUGUGGACUUUCGAGGCCUCGGACCCCGUUCCAAGUCCGACCGUCCCUUUCCAGGCCAUUGUGCCUUUCUUCGGCGUUUUAGGACGGAACCAAGAAACCGAGUCUGCGGCGUCACCGUUCGGCUUUUUGUGCGGCAAGAAACUUCGAGAUCACUCAGAAUCGGACACCCCAGUAGCUAGAUGUGGACUUUCGAGGCCUCGGACCCCGUUCCAAGUCCGACCGUCCCUUUCUAGGCCAUUGUGCCUUUCUUCGGCGUUUUGGGACGGAACCAAGAAACCGAGUCUGCGGCGUCACCGUUCGGCUUUUGUGGGCAAGAAACUUCGAGAUCACUAAGAAUGGAUCGGACCACCCAGUAGCUAGAUGUGGACUUUCGAGGCCUCGGACCCCGUUCCAAGUCCGACCGUCCCUUUCUAGGCCAUUGUGCCUUUCUUUCGGCGUUUUGGGACGGAACCAAAGAAACCGAGUCUGGCGGCGUCACCGUUCGGCUUUUGUGGGCAAGAAACUUCGAGAUCACUCAGAAAUCGGACCACCCAGUAGCUAGAUGUGGACUUUCGAGGCCUCGGACCCCGUUCCAAGUCCGACCGUCCCUCUUCAGGCCAUUGUGCCUUUCUUCGGCGUUUUGGGACGGAACCAAGAAACCGAGUCUGGGGCGUCACCGUUCGGCUUUUGUGGGCAAGAAACUUCGAGAUCACUCAGAAUCGGACCACCCAGUAGCUAGAUGUGGACUUUCGAGGCCUCGAACCCCGUUCCAAGUUCCGACCGUCCCUUUCCAGGCCAUUGUGCCUUUCUUCGGCGUUUUGGGACGGAACAAGAAACCGAGUCUGGGCGUCACCGUUCGGCUUUUGUGGGCAAGAAACUUCGAGAUCACUCAGAAUCGGACCACCCAGUAGCUAUUAGUGGACUUUCGAGGCCUCGGACCCCGUUCCAAGUCCGACCGUCCCUUUCUAGGCCAUUGUGCCUUUCUUCGGCGUUUUGGGACGGAACCAAGAAACCGAGUCGGGGCGUCACCGUUCGGCUUUUGUGGGCAAGAAACUUCGAGAUCACUCAGAAUCGGACCACCCAGUAGCUAGAUGUGGACUUUCGAGGCCUCGGACCCCCGUUCCAAGUCCGACCGUCCCUUUCUAGGCCAUUGUGCCUUUCUUCGGCGCUUUGGGACGAACCAAGAAACCGAGUCUGGGGCGUCACCGUUCGGCUUUUGUGGGCAAGAAACUUCGAGAUCACUCAGAAUCGGACCACCCAGUAGCUAGAUGUGGACUUUCGAGGCCUCGGACCCGUUCCAAGUCCGACCGUCCCUUUCCAGGCCAUUGUGCCUUUCUUCGGCGUUUUGGGACGGAACCAAGAAACCGAGUCUGCGGCGUCACCGUUCGGCUUUUGUGGGCAAGAAACUUCGAGAUCACUAAGAAUCGGACUCGGACCACCCAGUAGCUAGAUGUGGACUUUCGAGGCCUCGGACCCCGUUCCAAGUCCGACCGUCCCUUUCUAGGCCAUUGUGCCUUUUCUUUGCGUUUUGGGACGGAACCAAGAAACCGAGUCUGGGCCGUCACCGUUCGGCUUUUGUGGGCAAGAAACUUCGAGAUCACUCAGAAUCGGACCACCCAGUAGCUAGAUGUGGACUUUCGAGGCCUCGGACCCCGUUCCAAGUCCGACCGUCCCUUUCUAGGCCAUUGUGCCUUUCUUCGGCGUUUUGGGACGGAACCAAGAAACCGAGUCUGGGGCGUCACCGUUCGGCUUUUGUGGGCAAGAAACUUCGAGAUCACUCAGAAUCGGACCACCCAGUAGCUAGAUGUGGACUUUCGAGGCCUCGGACCCCGUUCCAAGUUCGACCGUCCCUUUCCAGGCCAUUGUGCCUUUCUUCGGCGUUUUGGGACGGAACCAAGAAACCGAGUCUGGGCGUCACCGUUCGGCUUUUGUGGGCAAGAAACUUCGAGAUCACUCAGAAUCGGACCACCCAGUAGCUAGAUGUGGACUUUCGAGGCCUCGGACCCGUUCCAAGUCCGACCGUCCCUUUCUAGGCCAUUGUGCCUUUCUUCGGGUUUGGGACGGAACCAAGAAACCGAGUCUGGGCGUCACCGUUCGGCUUUUGUGGGCAAGAAACUUCGAGAUCACUCAGAAUCGGACCACCCAGUAGCUAGAUGUGGACUUUCGAGGCCUCGGACCCCGUUCCAAGUCCGACCGUCCCUUUCCAGGCCAUUGUGCCUUUCUUCGGCGUUUUGGGACGGAACCAAGAAACCGAGUCUGGGGCGUCACCGUUCGGCUUUUGUGGGCAAGAAACUUCGAGAUCACUCAGAAUCGGACCACCCAGUAGCUAGAUGUGGACUUUCGAGGCUCGGCCGGACCCCGUUCCAAGUCCGACCGGUCCCUUUCUAGGCCAUUGUGCCUUUCUUCGCGGCUUUGGGACGGAACCAAGAAACCGAGUCUGGGCGUCACCGUUCGGCUUUUGUGGGCAAGAAACUUCGAGAUCACUCUGAAUCGGACCACCCAGUAGCCGGAUGUGGACUUUCGAGGCCUCGGACCCCGUUCCAAGUCCGACCGUCCCUUCUAGGCCAUUGUGCCUUUCUUCGGCGUUUUGGGACGGAACCAAGAAACCGAGUCUGGCGUCACCCGUUCGGCUUUUGUGGGCAAGAAACUUCGAGAUCACUCAGAAAUCGGACCCACCCAGUAGCUAGAUGUGGACUUUCGAGGCCUCGGACCCCGUUCCAAGUCCGACCGUCCCUUUCAGGCCAUUGUGCCUUUCUUCGGCGUUUUGGGACGGAACCAAGAAACCGAGUCUGGGGCGUCCCGUUCGGCUUUUGUGGGCAAGAAACUUCGAGAUCACUCAGAAUCGAACCACCCAGUAGCUAGAUGUGGACUUUCGAGGCCUCGGACCCCGUUCCAAGUCCGGACCGUCCCUUUCUUGGCCAUUGUGCCUUUCUUCGGC
rnacentral:lncRNA from 1 species